UGGGGAAUAUUGGACAAUGGGCGCAAGCCUGAUCCAGCCAUGCCGCGUGAGUGACGAAGGCCUUAGGGUUGUAAAGCUCUUUUGGCGGGGAAGAUAAUGACGGUACCCUCAGAGAAAGCCCCGGCUAACUACGUGCCAGCAGCCGCGGUAAUACGUAGGGGGCAAGCGUUGUCCGGAUUUACUGGGUGUAAAGGGCGCGCAGGCGGAAUGGAAAGUCAGUGGUGAAAUCCUACAGCUUAACUGUAGAACUGCCUUUGAUACUUUCAUUCUUGAGUUCGGGAGAGAGAGACGGAAUUCCAGGUGUAGUGGUGAAAUACGUAGAUAUCUGGAAGAACACCAGUUGCGAAGGCGGUCUCUUGGUCCGAUACUGACGCUGAGGCGCGAAAGCGUGGGGAGCAAACA
rnacentral:rRNA from 1 species